rnacentral:rRNA from 1 species
UAAACUAGGAUUAGAUACCCUAUUAUUAAAAAUGUAAAUUAAUAAUACUAAAGUAGUAUUAGUUAAUAUCUUGAAAUUUAAAAAAUUUGGCGGUAUUUUAGUCUAUUUAGAGGAACCUGUUCUAUAAUUGAUAGUCCACGAUUUAUUAAACUUUAAUUUUAUAUUUGUAUAUCGUUGUUUAGAGAAAAUUUUAAAAGAAUUUAAAUUUUUAUAAUUUUUAAUUAAAAAAUAAUUCAAAUCAAGGUGCAGUUUAUAUUAAAGUAGAAAUGGGUUACAAUAAAUUUAUUUAAAUAUGGAUAUUAUUUUGAAAUAAAUAGUUGAAGGUGGAUUUAAUAGUAAUGAAAUUAAAUUAAAUUUUAUGAUUUUAGCUCUAAAAUAUGUACAUAUCGCCCGUCGCUCUUAUUAUAAAAUAAGAUAAGUCGUAACAAAGUAGAUUUACUGGAAAGUGAAUCUAGAAUGACAAAUUAGAGCUUGAAAAGUAAAGCAUUUUAUUUACAUUAAAAGGUUGUCGUGCAAUUCGAUUUAAUGAAAUUAAAAUUUUAUUUAAUGUUUAUGUUUAUUUUAAAUUAUAUAAAAUAAUUUAUAAUAAAAUUUUAUUUUAGUAUUUAAUUAAGAAAAAAUAAUAAUAAUUAUAGUUUAUUAGUAUUGUGAAAGAAUAUAGUUUAAUUAUUAAAAAGUAUAAUUAAUUAUUUGUACCUUGUGUAUCAGGGUUUAUUAAUUAAAAUUUAUUGAUUUUAAUUUUCUCGAUUUUAAAUGAGUUAAUUAAAUGUUUUUUUUAUUGUAGAAUUAAUAUUUAAAAUAUUUAAUUAGUAGUGAAAUGUUAUUCGUAUUUAAAUAUAUCUAGUUUAUUUAGAAAUAAAUUAAAUUUAGUAUUUAUUAAUUUAAUUAAGUUAAUUUUUUAAUUUAAUUAAUUUUAAAUAUAAUAAUUAAAGGGAUUAGCUUUUAAUUAAAAUAUUAUAAGUAAUUAUAAAUAUAAUUGAAAAUUGUAAGUUUAGAAAUAUCUAUCAUAUUAGUUUGUUAAAAUUAAUUUUAUAUUAAUUAAUAUUUUUUAUUUGCUUUAAAUUAUUUAUAAAUUUAUUUAAAUGAUAAUUAUUAAUUGUUUAGUAAUAAUGAUAGAAUUAGUAUAUUUAAAUUUUAAAAAUAAAAUUUUUAAUAAGGUUUUAAAAAGGAAUUCGGCAAAUAUUUAAUUCGCCUGUUUAUCAAAAACAUGUCCUUUAGUUUUAUUUUUAAGGUCGGGCCUGCUCAAUGAUUAUAAUUAAAUAGCCGCAGUAUUUUGACUGUGCAAAGGUAGCAUAAUCAUUAGUUUUUUAAUUGAAAGCUAGAAUGAAGGGUUUGACGAAAUUAAUACUGUCUCUUUAGAAUUUAUAGAAUUUAAUUUUUAAGUUAAAAAGCUUAAAUAUUAGUAAAAGACGAGAAGACCCUAUAGAGUUUUAUAAUUAAUAAAUUUAUAUUUAUAAGGAAUAUUUUUUGUUUAAUUUUAUUAAUUAUUUUAUUGGGGUAAUAUAAAGAUUUAAUUAAUUCUUUAUUGAUUUAAACAUUUAUUUAUGUUUUUUUGAUCCAUUAAUAAUGAUAAUAAGAAUAAAUUACCUUAGGGAUAACAGCGUAAUUUUUUUGGAGAGUUCAUAUUGAUAAAAAAGUUUGCGACCUCGAUGUUGGAUUAAAGAUUAUUUUAGAUGUAGAAGUUUAAAAUUUUGGUCUGUUCGACCAUUAGAUCUUUACAUGAUCUGAGUUCAAACCGGAGAGU